rnacentral:tRNA from 1 species
UGUAACUUAGUGGUAAAGGAUUUGCCUAGUACGCAUAAGGUCCUGGGUUCAAUCCCCAGCA